AUUGAACGCUGGCGGCAGGCCUAACACAUGCAAGUCGAACGAGUGGCGGACGGGUGAGUAAUGUCUGGGAAACUGCCCGAUGGAGGGGGAUAACUACUGGAACCGGUAGCUAAUACCGCAUACCAUCGGAUGUGCCCAGAUGGGAUUAGCUAGUAGGUGGGGUAACGGCUCACCUAGGCGACGAUCCCUAGCUGGUCUGAGAGGAGGACCAGCCAAAAGGGAACUGAGACACGGGCCAGACUCCGACGGGAGGCAGCAGUGGGGAAUAUUGCCCAAUGGGCGCAAGCCUGAUGCAGCCAUGCCGCGUGUAGGAAGAAGGCCUGCGGGUUGUAAAGUACUUUCAGCGAGGAGGCGUUACUCGCAGAAGAAGCACCGGCUAACUCCGUGCCAGCAGCCGCGGUAAUUC
rnacentral:rRNA from 1 species